rnacentral:rRNA from 1 species
CCUACGGGUGGCAGCAGUGGGGAAUAUUGGUCAAUGGGGGCAACCCUGACCCAGCAACGCCGCGUGAAGGAAGAAGGUUUUCGGAUUGUAAACUUCUUUUGACAGGGAAGAUAAUAACGAUGUACCACGACUAAGAACCAGCUAACACCGUGGCAGCAGCCGCGGUGAUACGUCGGGGGCGCGAGUUUCCCGGAGUUACUGGGUGUAAAAAGGGCGUAGGCGGGUUAGCAAGUCAGAUGUGAAAUACUAGGGCUUAACCGCAGAACUGCAUUUGAAACUGUUGAUCUUGAGUAUUGGAGAGGUAGGCGGAAUUCCUGGUGUAGCGGUGAAAUGCGUAGAGAUUAGGAGGAACACUAGUGGCGAAGGCGGCCUGCUGGACAGUAACUGACGGUGAGGCGCGAAAGCGUGGGGAGCAAACAGGAUUAGAUACCCUAGUAGUC